AACGCACAUUGCACCUUCUGGCAUUCCAGGAGGUAUGCCUGUUCGAGCGUCAUUGCAACCAUCAAGCCCAAGCUUGGUAUUGGAUGCCACCUAGUUGGUGCAUCUCAAAAUUAGUGGCAGUGCCAUUUAGCUUCAAGCGCAGUAAAUUUCUCGCUCCUGGAGUUUAGUGGUGUCUGCUAGAACCCCCUAAUUUAAGGUUUGACCUCGGAUCAGGUAGGGAUACCCGCUGAACUUAA
rnacentral:misc_RNA from 1 species